rnacentral:lncRNA from 1 species
CAAGUCUUUGACGUCAGCUUCCUCAAAACAUGGAAUUAUUCUUGGCAUGUGUCUUCAGGCCCCUCCCAGGUGUAGUGCACGGGGGAAGAAAUGUUCUCGGUACUGAUCCUGUAGAGAACCCCUCAUGGUGCUCCUGCUCUGCUCCUGGAAGUUGCAGAACCUGUUUAAACCUGGCCGAAUUCUGAUCGGCACCUCUAAUGACUCAAUAAACCCUUUAUUUCAAAGAUCCCUCUGUUUUGAGUCUUUGGUUUAACAGUGUACAAGCCAAAGGGGAUUGGCUUACUAUAAAACUACAGCCUCGGACCAUGGCCAAUGGUGUGGACAAGGAAGGGCCCUUAGUUUGAGGACCCAUCUGCAAAAUAAAG